AGAGUUUGAUCAUGGCUCAGGAUGAACGCUAGCGGCAGGCCUAAUACAUGCAAGUCGAACGCUCAGUAGCAAUACUGGGAGUGGCGCACGGGUGCGUAACGCGUACACAAUCUACCUCUAAGCGGGGGACACCUCCUGGAAACGGGGAUUAAUACCGCAUAAUAUGCCGAAGUCGCAUGACUUUGGUAUUAAAGCAGCAAUGCACUUAGAGAUGAGUGUGCGUCCCAUUAGGUAGUUGGUGAGGUAACGGCUCACCAAGCCUAUGAUGGGUAGCCGGUCUGAGAGGAUGGUCGGCCACACGGGCACUGAGACACGGGCCCGACUCCUACGGGAGGCAGCAGUAAGGAACAUUGGUCAAUGGUGGAAACACUGAACCAGCCAUGCCGCGUGGAGGAAUAAGGUCCUACGGAUUGUAAACUCCUUUUGACGAGGAAGAAAAUGUUAGAUUUAUCUAAUUUUGACGGUACUCGUAGAAUAAGCACCGGCUAACUCCGUG
rnacentral:rRNA from 1 species